UACGAAGGGGGCUAGCGUUGCUCGGAAUCACUGGGCGUAAAGCGCACGUAGGCGGAUUGCUAAGUCAGGGGUGAAAUCCUGGAGCUCAACUCCAGAACUGCCUUUGAUACUGGCGAUCUUGAGUCCGGGAGAGGUGAGUGGAACUGCGAGUGUAGAGGUGAAAUUCGUAGAUAUUCGAAAGAACACCAGUGGCGAAGGCGGCUCACUGGCCCGGUACUGACGCUGAGGUGCGAAAGCGUGGGGAGCAAACAGG
rnacentral:rRNA from 1 species